rnacentral:rRNA from 1 species
UACGUAGGGUGCAAGCGUUGUCCGGAAUUAUUGGGCGUAAAGAGCUCGUAGGCGGUUUGUCGCGUCUGCUGUGAAAUCCCGAGGCUCAACCUCGGGUCUGCAGUGGGUACGGGCAGACUAGAGUGCGGUAGGGGAGAUUGGAACUCCCGGUGUAGCGGUGGAAUGCGCAGAUAUCAGGAAGAACACCGAUGGCGAAGGCAGAUCUCUGGGCCGUAACUGACGCUGAGGAGCGAAAGCAUGGGGAGCGAACAGG